CCAAACUUGGUCAUUUAGAGGAAGUAAAAGUCGUAACAAGGUUUCCGUAGGUGAACCUGCGGAAGGAUCAUUACUGAGUGAGGGUCCCUCGGGGCCCAACCUCCCACCCGUGUAUACCGUACCUUGUUGCUUCGGCGGGCCCGCCGCGCAAGCGGCCGCCGGGGGGGCGUCAAACCCCUCCCUAAGCGAGCGCCCGCCGGAGACACCAACGUGAACACUGUCUGAAGUUUUGUUGUCUGAGUUCGAUUGUAUCGCAAUCAGUUAAAACUUUCAACAAUGGAUCUCUUGGUUCCGGCAUCGAUGAAGAACGCAGC
rnacentral:misc_RNA from 1 species